CCCAAAUACAGCUUUCCAGCCGAUAACCCAAUCCAAAGCAGUGCAAGAAACGACCACAGCAACAGCAACAACAGACAACAGACAAUAUCCACAAAUCCCACGCCAGUCAAGGUACAGGGGCUACUACUAGCAUAAUACGAAGAAUGAAAUAUGAAAUAAUGAAAUAAAAUGAAAUAUGAAAUAACGAAAUAACAAAGGUUAGAAGUCACCGGAUUACGCUUGUAGACCAAGCCGGAAACCAAUCCCAGUAUUGGCCGG
rnacentral:lncRNA from 1 species